rnacentral:tRNA from 2 species
GGCGCGGUCGCCAAGUGGUAAGGCCGAGGACUGCAAAUCCCCUAUCGUCGGUUCGAUUCCGACCCGCGCCUCCA